rnacentral:lncRNA from 10 species
ACCUCCACCUCCCAGCCGCCUGCCUUGGCCUCCCAAAGUGCCGGGAGUGCAGCCUCUGCCCGGCCGCCACCCCGUCUGGGAAGUGAGGAGCGUCUCUGCCUGGCCGCCCAUCAUCUGGGAUGUGAGGAGCCCCUCUGCCUGGCUGCCCAGUCUGGAAAGUGAGGAGCGUCUCCGCCCGGCUGCCAUCCCACCUAGGAAGUGAGGAACACCUCUUCUCGGCCGCCAUCACAUCUAGGAAGUAAGGAGCGUCUCUGCCCGGCCGCCCAUCGUCUGAGAUGUGGGGAGCGCCUCUGCCCCGCCGCCCCAUCUGGGAUGUGAGGAGCACCUCUGCCCGGCCCCAACCCCGUCUAGGAGCAUUUAUGCCUUAUUUCGGCCUUCUGUGCUUGUGUUCAUAGAGAAGAAAAGCAAAAUAAAGAAUAUGAUUGGCACUUACUCACAGAAAUCACUUCCUCAAGAAGCACCUGCUAGCCUAAGAAUAGUAAACAAAGCAAGUAUCUCCUGAACAAGGAAAAACAAUGAUUCUCAUCUGUAACUACUAUCAACUAAAAUCAAAUUUUUUAAAGACUCACUACUGAGAAGUGACAGCUACUGGUGAGAAAAAAAAAUUCAACAACUAAAAAAAAACACAACAGUGUGGAUUCCCUGUUUAGUUGUCUAUAUUUCCCACUAGAUGAGCAAGCACUAUGUCUAUCUUUUUCAUUUUAAUUCCUGCUCUAGCAUAUUGCCUGGCACAUACUAGGUGCUCAAUACAUUGUAAAAUGAAAUAACACUAAAGUCUUGAGUAGCAGAGUUGAUUGUACAAAAUAAUAAAUUCAUAUUUGUCUCAGUAAUUUCUUUUGUGGAGUGAUUUUUCAAUAUAGUUAUUCUACACAUCAAAUUAUAUUAAGUUCUGACAUAUGUUUUAGGCCAACUCAAGACAAUGAAAGUAACAAGGCCAUGUAUGCAA